AGAUGUGACAGCUAUCUGGCUGUGACAUCUGUUGCCCCAUUUAUCACCAGGGUUGAUUUCGCUGAUCUAGCUGGCUAGGCAGGUGUUUUCUUUUUCCCUCACCACUCUGUGUGCACCUCUCCCAAAGCUUUGCCCUCUGUUGAAGAGGAAGGCAUUCCAUGAAUGGUCUUUGGUUGAGGGCAUACAAGUAGUUGUGCUCCCCUGCUCCAAAUAAGCUCUCAAUGUCCAAGUAUAUAUGAUGUUUCCUAGGGAGAUUGAAAGGAUAUGAUGACAUAUCAAUGCCCUUUAUCCCUUUGCAU
rfam:Erinaceus europaeus unplaced genomic scaffold scaffold00292, whole genome shotgun sequence